rnacentral:rRNA from 1 species
AAAUGAAUAGACGGGGGCCCGCACAAGCGGAGGAACAUGUGGUUUAAUUCGAUGAUACGCGAGGAACCUUACCUGGGCUUGAAUGUACGUUGCAUAAACAGGAAACUGUUUUUUACCUUCGGGUACUAUGUACAAGGUGCUGCAUGGUUGUCGUCAGCUCGUGCCGUGAGGUGUCGGGUUAAGUCCCAUAACGAGCGCAACCCUCAUUGCCAGUUACCAACACGUAAAGGUGGGGACUCUGGUGAGACUGCCGGUGUAAACCGAGAGGAAGGUGGGGAUGACGUCAAAUCAGCACGGCCCUUAUGUCCAGGGCUACACACGUGUUACAAUGGUCAAUACAAAGGGCAGCGACUUGGCAACAAGUAGCCAAUCCUAAAAGUUGAUCUUAGUUCGGAUCGGAGUCUGCAACUCGACUCCGUGAAGCUGGAUUCGCUAGUAAUCGUAGAUCAGCCAUGCUACGGUGAAUACGUUCCCGGGCCUUGUACACACCGCCCGU